rnacentral:rRNA from 1 species
UGACGGAGAGUUUGAUCCUGGCUCAGGGCGAACGCUGGCGGCGUGCCUUAGACAUGCAAGUCGAGCGGUAGGCGUCCUUCGGGGCGCCGAGAGCGGCGAACGGCGGAGUAACACGUGGGUAACCUGCCCCGAAGACCGGGACAACCCUGGGAAACUGGGGCUAAUACCGGAUGUGGAUACGCUGGCUUCGGCUGGCGUAUCUAAAGGGAGCAAUCCGCUUCGGGAUGGGCCCGCGGCCUAUCAGGUAGUUGGUGAGGUAAUGGCUCACCAAGCCUGCGACGGGUAGCCGGUCUGAGAGGAUGAUCGGCCCGAGGGGCACUGAGACACGGGCCCCACUCCUACGGGAGGCAGCAGUCGGGAAUUGUGGGCAAUGGGCGAAAGCCUGACCGCGCGACGCCGCGUGCGGGAAGAAGCUCGAAAGAGUGUAAACCGCUGUGGUAGGGGAGGAAGUCCCGAUUUAGUCGGGGUUGACCGUACCUUACUAGAAAGGGGCCGCUAACUGCGUGCCAGAAGCGUCGGUAAUACGUGGGCCCCAAACGUUAUCCGGUUUUACUGGGUGUAAAAGGUCGCGUAGGCGUUCUGUUAAGUUUCAUCUUAAAGCCUACAACUCAAUUGUAGGAUUGGGUGAAAAACUGGCAGAAUUGAGUAGUCUUAAGGGAGACUGGAACUUAGGGAGGAGUAGUGAAAUGCGUUGAUACCCUAGGGAACACCGGUGGCGAAGGCGAGUCUCUGGAAGACUACUGACGCUGAGGCACGAAAGCUAGGGGAGCGAAGCAGAUUAGAGACCUGCGUAGUCCUAGCCGUAAACGCAUGCUUGCUAGCUGCAUUUCCUAACUUUUAGUUAGGGAGUGUGGCGAAGGUAACCCGUUAAGCAAGCUACCUGGGGAGUACGACCGCAAGGUUAAAACUCAAAGGAAUUGGCGGGGAGGCACACAACCAGUGGAACAUGUGGUUCAAUUCGAAACGAACCGAAGAACCUUACCAGGGCUUGACAUCUUGGCGUUCUACCCUAAAGAAAUUUAGGGAAUCCGCAAGGAGGCCGGGACAGGUGCUGCAUGGCUGUCGUCAGCUCGUUCCGUGAGGAGUGCCCUUAAGUGGGACAACGAGCGCAACCCCUGCUCUGUGUUAAAUCUGUCACAGAGGACCGCCCCGACGUUACGUCGGGGAGGAAGGAAGGGCAGACGUCAAGUCAGCAUGGUCCUUAUGCCCUGGGCUACACACAUGUUACAAUG